GACGAACGCUGGCGGCGUGCUUAACACAUGCAAGUCGAGCGGUAAGGCCCUUUCGGGGGUACGACGAGCGGCGAACGGGUGAGUAACACGUGGGUGACCUGCCCUCAGCUCUGGGAUAAGCCUGGGAAACUGGGUCUAAUACUGGAUAUGACUCCACGGUGCAUGUCGUGGGGUGGAAAGCCUUGUGCGGCUGAGGAUGGGCCCGCGGCCUAUCAGCUUGUUGGUGGGGUGAGGCCUACCAAGGCGACGACGGGUAGCCGGCCUGAGAGGGCGACCGGCCACACUGGGACUGAGACACGGGCCCAGACUCCUACGGGAGGCAGCAGUGGGGAAUCUUGCGCAAUGGGCGAAAGCCUGACGCAGCGACGCCGCGUGAGGGAUGA
rnacentral:rRNA from 1 species